GACGAACGCUGGCGGCGUGCUUAACACAUGCGAGUCGAACGGAAAGGCCCUGCUUUUGUGGGGUGCUCGAGUGGCGAACGGGUGAGUAACACGUGAGUAACCUGCCCUUGACUUUGGGAUAACUUCAGGAAACUGGGGCUAAUACCGGAUAGGAGCUCCUGCUGCAUGGUGGGGGUUGGAAAGUUUCGGCGGUUGGGGAUGGACUCGCGGCUUAUCAGCUUGUUGGUGGGGUAGUGGCUUACCAAGGCUUUGACGGGUAGCCGGCCUGAGAGGGUGACCGGCCACAUUGGGACGGAGAUACGGCCCAGACUCCUACGGGAGGCAGCAGGGGGGAAUAUGGCACAAGGGGCGGAAGCCUGAUGCAGCAACGCCGCGUGCGGGAUGACGGCCUUCGGGUUGUAAACCGCUUUCGCCUGUGACGAAGCGUGAGGGACGGUAAUGGGUAAAGAAGCACCGGCUAACUACGU
rnacentral:rRNA from 1 species